AACGAACGCUGGCGGCAUGCCUAACACAUGCAAGUCGAACGAUCGCCUCCGGGUGAUAGUGGCGCACGGGUGCGUAACGCGUGGGAAUCUGCCCUUAGGUUCGGAAUAACAGCUGGAAACGGCUGCUAAUACCGGAUGCAAUUGCGAGAUCGAAGAUUUAUCGCCUUAGGAUGCGCCCGCGUUGGUUUAGGUUGUUGGUGGGGUAAAGGCCUACCAAGCCGACGAUCCAUAGCUGGGCUGAGAGGGUCAGCAGCAACACCGGGGCUGAGACGCGGCCCAGAAUCCUACGGGAGGCAGCAGAGGGGAAUAGUGGAAAAUGGGCGCAGGGCUGAUCGAGCUAUGCCGCUUGAGUGCUGAAGGCCCUAGGGAUGUAAAGCUCUAUUAACCGGGAAGAUAAUGACUGUACCGAGAGAAUAAGCCCCGGCUAACUCCGUG
rnacentral:rRNA from 1 species